AAACAACAUCUCUCCCCCCUAUUGGAACAAAGCAGGUGUUUCACUCCCUUGUAUCAGCAAAGUGUAAAAAAAAAUAAAAUAAAAAAAUAACAUUUUGUAAUGAUAAAAAGAGCAGUUUGACGCAUUGUAAAAGUUGCAGAAAUAUUUUUAGCUUUUUUUGUACUAUCGUUACUUUGAGGCAAAGUUCUAAAAGUGUAGCAACCAACAAGUUUGAAUGGUGACUACUUCAUGUUUAAAC